rnacentral:rRNA from 1 species
UACGAAGGGGGCUAGCGUUGCUCGGAAUCACUGGGCGUAAAGCGCACGUAGGCGGACUCUUAAGUCGGUGGUGAAAUCCUGGAGCUCAACUCCAGAACUGCCUUCGAUACUGAGAGUCUUGAGUCCGGAAGAGGUGAGUGGAACUCCUAGUGUAGAGGUGGAAUUCGUAGAUAUUAGGAAGAACACCAGUGGCGAAGGCGGCUCACUGGUCCGGUACUGACGCUGAGGUGCGAAAGCGUGGGGAGCAAACAGG